GGGGUUGUGGCUCAGUGGUAGAGCGCUCGCCUCGCAAGUAGGAGACCCUAGGUUCAAUCCUCAGCACCA
rnacentral:tRNA from 1 species